UGAGGGAUUUUCGGCAAUGGGCGAAAGCCUGACCGAGCGACGCCGCGUGAGCGAAGAAGGCCUUCGGGUCGUAAAGCUCUGUCUAGGGGGAAGAGGAAGGACGGUACCCCUGGAGGAAGCCACGGCUAACUACGUGCCAGCAGCCGCGGUAAUACGUAGGUGGCGAGCGUUGUCCGGAAUUACUGGGCGUAAAGGGCGCGCAGGCGGUCUGUUAAGUCCGGGGUGAAAUCCUUCGGCUCAACUGGAGGGGGACCUUGGAUACUGGCAGGCUGGAGUGCGGGAGAGUGAAGCGGAAUUCCACGUGUAACGGUGAGAUGUAUAGAUAUGUGGAGGGACACCGGUGGGGAAGGCGGCUUCCUGGACCGUAACUG
rnacentral:rRNA from 1 species